GCGUGCCUGGCAAAACACUGACUUCCGGCGGCAACCAUUGUGCUUGCCACUGAAACAGUCCAGAAUGUUUUCAAUAGCAUCUCUGGCUCUCUGUAUGUACUGAUCUUGCUGGUGAAAGAGUUUCUGCAUUCUGGCGCGAAAACUUGUGUGGCAGUGAUGUUGUUUGCUUGUGGCCUGCUUGUGUAAGAUGCAUCGAAUUCCACAUCUGUUUCAGCAGAGGCUCCAGACAAGCUUUGACUGUGCGCGGCGUGGGCGUAACUUGAAUGGCAGAACUGAGGAAUUAAGUCUUUGACCAGCAGCAUUUAGUACAUCAUCCGCAACUGAUUGCUCAAGACGCACAAAAGAUUCCGGACACUGGUUAAUUGAUGCUGACUGUGAUGAAUACAGAGAGCUUUGUAGUAACAUUCUACUCGAACGCCUCUGUUUGCUGCGAUAUUUUGCGGUCUUGUAGAAUGUCUCUUUC